rnacentral:rRNA from 1 species
AUUGAACGCUGGCGGCAGGCCUAACACAUGCAAGUCGAGCGGAUGAAGGGAGCUUGCUCCUGGAUUCAGCGGCGGACGGGUGAGUAAUGCCUAGGAAUCUGCCUGGUAGUGGGGGAUAACGUCCUGAAACGGGCGCUAAUACCACAUACGUCCUGAGGGAGACAGUGGGGGAUCUUCGGACCUCACGCUAUCAGAUGAGCCUAGGUCGGAUUAGCUAGUUGGUGGGGUAACGGCCUACCAAGGCGACGAUCCGUAACUGGUCUGAGAGGAUGAUCAGUCACACGGGAAGAGAGACACGGUCCAGACUCCUACGGGAGGCAGCAGUGGGGAAUAUUGGACAAUGGGCGAAAGCCUGAUCCAGCCAUGCCGCGUGUGUGAAGAUGGUCUUCGGAUUGUAAAGCACUUUAAGUUGGGAGGAAGGGCAGUAAGUUAAUACCUUGCUGUUUUGACGUUACCAACAGAAUAAGCACCGGCUAACUUCGUG